AUGCAGAAGAGGAAAAGAAAGAACAAGAGGAAAGACAAGGAGAAGAAGGAGAGAAGGAAGAAGAGGAUGAGCACUAUGACGAUGCUUCAUCUGAGGACCACUCUUAUGCAUCAUACUCAUCUUCUUCUUUCGCUUCAUCUAUGCAAUCUAUGUCAACGGACGGGGAGGAAAGUUU
rnacentral:ribozyme from 14 species